rnacentral:rRNA from 1 species
CGAACGCUGGCGGCAGGCUCACACGAUGACAAGUCGAGCGGGCGUAGCCCCUACGUCAGCGGCAGACGGGUGAGUAACGCGUGGGAACGUACCUUUUGGUUCGGAACAACACAGGGAAACUUGUGCUAAUACCGGAUAAGCCCUUACGGGGAAAGAUUUAUCGCCGAAAGAUCGGCCCGCGUCUGAUUAGCUAGUUGGUGAGGUAACGGCUCACCAAGGCGACGAUCAGUAGCUGGUCUGAGAGGAUGAUCAGCCACAUUGGGACUGAGACACGGGCCAAACUCCUACGGGAGGCAGCAGUGGGGAAUAUUGGACAAUGGGCGCAAGCCUGAUCCAGCCAUGCCGCGUGAGUGAUGAAGGACCUAAGGUUGUAAAGCUCUUUAUGUGCGGGAAGAUAACUGACAGAGUACCGCGAAGAAUAAGCCCCGGCUAACAUUCGUGCCACCAGACAGCGGUGAAUACAGAAGGGGGCCUAACGUUGCUCGGAAUCACAUGGGCGU